UUCAUGAUGAAACAUGUCCAAAGCAGAAUCAGAAACUAAUGUCUUAGCAUGGCCCCUGCGCAAGGAUGACACGCAAAUUCGUGAAGCGUUCCAUAUUUAA
ensembl:snRNA U6 U6 spliceosomal RNA